UAAUUUAGUGGUCAAAGCAUUGGCGCGUAAAGCCAAAAAGCCCGGGUUCGAUUCCCGG
rnacentral:tRNA from 1 species